UACGUAGGGUGCGAGCGUUGUCCGGAAUUAUUGGGCGUAAAGGGCUCGUAGGCGGUUUGUCGCGUCGGGAGUGAAAUCCACUGGCUUAACUGGUGGCUUGCUUUCGAUACGGGCAGACUGGAGGUAUGCAGGGGAGAGCGGAAUUCCUGGUGUAGCGGUGAAAUGCGCAGAUAUCAGGAGGAACACCGGUGGCGAAGGCGGUUCUCUGGGCAUGUCCUGACGCUGAGGAGCGAAAGCGUGGGGAGCGAACAGG
rnacentral:rRNA from 1 species